ACGACCCGAAAAACUGCGGUUUGGCGCCGGCCAUGACAGGAGGGAAUUAAGGGUCAGCUCAGCCUCCCUGCACCCACAGCAGCUCUCCUCCUGCGUCACCAUCGCUUCGUCUACCGCAUCAGGUUGCGACUAGCUGAGGGUACAUCAGGCGUAAUUCGGAGGCCGCGGCGGAACAUUUCUCACAGACACGACGAUCGACCUCCAAAUGCUGGAAUUCCAAAGCUACACGUGCAAGAAAGAGUACAUCACAAAUAUCUCUAAAAAUUAGUAAUCUGAAAUACAGCCUGUGAUCCCUCUCAGCCAUUGAGCGUUGCCUUGGCAACCAUGACGCACACCUGGAGGAAGCCUGGCGACAUACAAAACGAGGAUGCAGGUGGUAGGAUAAAUUACAUAAGCACCUUUAUCGCCGUUACAUGUAAAGUGUAUGUCUGUCAGAGAAUGUUGUGAAAUCUCUAAACUCACACAAACUGCAGAUAGCGCGGGUAGAGGAGCAGACGUGCGACACAAAAGUAAAUUGUUUCUCGUGAGGGAGAAAUAGAGAAACGGAUGCCAGUUGGGGUGGCACAGAAAUGUUUUGACAUUGAUAACAAGCGUAUAAACAGCUAUGAAUCAUGGAAGAUGCUGCCGACACAAAGGAAAUAAAACAAAAUCUUCAGAGUGUCUGGUUGAUGUGGACAAAGAGAAAGGGAGAG